rnacentral:rRNA from 1 species
UACGGAGGGUGCAAGCGUUAUCCGGAUUCACUGGGUUUAAAGGGUGCGUAGGAGGGCAGGUAAGUCAGUGGUGAAAUCCCCAAGCUUAACUUGGGAACUGCCGUUGAUACUAUCUGUCUUGAAUACCGUGGAGGUGAGCGGAAUAUGUCAUGUAGCGGUGAAAUGCUUAGAUAUGACAUAGAACACCAAUUGCGAAGGCAGCUCGCUACACGAAUAUUGACUCUGAGGCACGAAAGCGUGGGGAUCAAACAGG